UUUAAAAGGUUACAAAAAAAAAAUGACGAACUAUUUUUCUUUAUUUUGUAGAACUCUGAGCUCUCUCCCCUUUCAUUGUUUUCUCCAAAUCUAGGGUUAGGAGUUUAAUUGCAUAGUCACAAUCUCAAUAAUCAGGAAUUACCUUAUAGAAGUCGAUUUUCUCGAAGACAACACCACCUCAACCGUUUCCCCUGACCCUACCGCCGGGAUCGAAGACGACGCGACUCUCCAUGUAUUAGGAAAGAACUUAGAGUUUCCGGUGCCGAAUAAUUCCAAAGAGGAUGUCUCGGAGAGUUUAUAUAUGUACAAGAAGCUUUAUAGUUGGAUUCUGAAGUCGGUGGAUGGUCUCAUGCGGUUGAAAAAUUAACUUGUUCGCGCAGGAGUUCAGUAGUAUGACGAGGCUGAAGCGGCUGUAGACAAAGGUUUAUUCACCUGGAAUUGGUGGGUUGCGGUUGCAUAAAUUGAAGGGUUUGAAAGAGCUUGAGCUUUCCCAAGGUCCUUCAAGACCUUCUGCGUUUCCUAUAUUGACUGAGAUUGCCGCUCUCAAGUGUUUGACCAAACUUUGCAUUUGUCACUUCUCUAUAAGGGAGAACUAGUUUGUGUAUGGUGACUAUCUUAAGUUGUCUUCUGUUUUUAACAGUAGAUACCUUCCACCCGAAAUUGGGUGUUUAAAGAAUCUGGAGUAUCUACACCCGAUUUCAUUCAAUUAAUUGAAGACAUUGCCCUCAGAGAUUAGUUCUUUGUAAGUAUUAAUAACCAUGAAAGUUGCUAAUAAUAAGUUGGUGGAAUUAUCGCCGGCUAUGACAUCAUUAUUGAGGCUGGAGAAUCUGGACCUGCGAAAUAAUAGGUUGACUUCGUUAGGAUCUCUUGAACUUAGCUCAAUGAAUAGACUUCAUGACUUAAAUUUUCAGGUUAUUAUGCGUGUAUAUACAAAUACAUAUGCUGGUGUUGCUUAAAUGCUCCUACUUGUAGACUUUUUCUCAGUUGCUUACAAGAAUGAUGAUAGAGGACGUAGGGCCUCAUGGAAGGUUCUUUCCUCAAUUAAUCAAAGGGAGGAAACUAAAUGGAACUGUGUGAAUUUUUAUCAGAUUAUGAAAUAUGCUUUUGUUUGCACAUGUCAUGAAAUAUCCUUUAUUUUCAAGUUUCUAUUAAAAAUGUUUCAUGAAACAAACAAAGUAGGAGGUUGAGAUUUGAGGUCCACCUGUUAGAAAAGCAUUUGAUCAGGAAGGAAAUCCAACGAAGGUUUAAUUCUUGAUUUUGAUUUCUCGUAUUAUACCUUGUAUUGUGGUUAAAAUAUGUUGCUUUAAUUUAGUUUUCCUAUGUCAGACUGCAUAUGGGUUUUCCCGUAAGUUCGAUGUUCCACUGGACUUGGUAUACAUAAUGGUCAGACCAUAUGUUUAGUGGGUUUGGAUGUGUUCACUUUUGUCUUACUCAUCUAACUGUUAUUUUUUGUUGUUGUUGAUUUUUCAUUGUACACUACUUGUUGAUUUUCGAGCUGCCGCAUUGAUGUCGUUCAAGAAAAUCGAAGAGAUGAUCGAGCUUAAGUUGGAUAUAUCACAAAGGUUGACACCCCGGUCAAAUCGUUGCCUAACGCACAAUCCAAAUCCCAUCCUUAACGACAAACUGUUAGGCAAUUGCGUCAACAUCGGCGAUGAAAGAUAAGUUAUCUUUCCACAUUUAAUUUUAAAUUUGAGAUAAUUAAUGAGUUUAAACAUAGCAAAAAGAGCCAACUCAUUUCACUUUGCUUUACCUUGAGUUAGUUGGAUGCUUGGUUAUUAUCAUUGCCUAUAUCACUUGAAUGAAUCUAGUGGAGAAUUUUGUUAUGCUGUUUAAAUGGUAUUCUAACGGCAUAAUUAGAAGUGAACUCAACUUUAUGAUUCAUUGUACUUUGUGUUAGGCUAUAUGUGUAUGAGUAUUGGGGACAUAUCGAAGAUGUCGUGUAAGCAUGUUGUAUCCUAUAUGCGACAUAAUUGUUAUUAAAAUGAUGCCAUGUGUUGUAUUGUUGUUGUAAUUGCGUCCUAUAUAUGCUUCCGUGUGAUAAUGAUGCAGGUAUUAAACCAUUUCGCACAGCUGCUGAACCAAAAUGUUACGACUGCUGUACCAAAUGAUGCAAGGGCAGAUUCGAGUCAUACAGCUGAUAUACCGAACAUUGCAGGUGCUGAACCGUGUCGGACGACUGCUGAACCAGAAGGUUGAGCUGCUAUAUCAAAUGUGGUAGGUGUUGUACCUAUUGUACAACUGCUUUUGGUGCUUCUUUAGUUUCUCUUUUUUCGUGUAUCUUGUGCCGUUGUAGAUAUGGAAGUGCUAUGCGGGGCCACUUUUCAUUAGAAGACGUGGAGCCGAUUGGGUGACUUGGCUACUACAUAAUUCCAUCAGAGAAUUUGAAGAGUGUCUACAGGUGCAAUGUUGUGUGCUUUUUUUUUUUUCUUUUCUAGUAGCAUAUGAUGAAUAAAUUCUGGUUUUUUUAAAUAAUAUGACUCAAAUUCUUGUAAAUAAUAGAAAUAAUUGUAAUUAAAUUUUCAUUGAAACUAAUUGAUGAUUGAUUGAUCAUGUAGUUUCUUGUUAUGUUAUGUUAAUAUUUUAUAUUUUGAGAAAUAUUGAUGUGUUAUUUUUGCAGAAAUAUUGAAUUACAACAUU